UACCCUGAACGGUGGAUAACUUGGCUCGUGGGUCCAUGAAGAACGUAGCUAAUUGCGCGUCAACUUGUGAACUGCAGGACACAUGAACAUCGACAUUUCGAACGCACAUUGCGGUCCUCGGAUACGAUUCCCGGACCACGCCUGGCUGAGGGUCG
rnacentral:rRNA from 1 species